rnacentral:snRNA from 1 species
AUACUUACCUGGCAGGGGAGGUGCCAUGGUCAUGAUGGUGGCUGUCCCAGGGCAGGGCUUGUCCAUUGUGCUCUGCGUGGGCUGACCCCUGUGAUUUCCCCAAGUGUGGGAAACUCAAGUGCAAGAUUAGUGGUGC